CACUCUUAAAGGGUCCGCUCCUGGCUCGCGACUCCCCAGUUCCCUAGCCCAGAAAAGCGGAUUGGAGCCCGGGAAGCUCAUUGCGAUUCCAAAGGUCACGCUGAUGCAAGAGAUGGGUUCCCAUGAUCUUGGGCAGCUCCACUCCUGUGAUGCGGAAACUGAAGCUCAGAGAGCCCAAGUCAUUUGCCCAAGGUCCCAGUGACCUGCCGAGUGGGAAGAGCCGUGGCUGGCCGGCCUCCCAGUGGCGACGACGACCUCGCUGUGUUCGUGGCAGCGGCACUCUCAAAUCUGGGCACGGUGAUGGGAAGGUUAUUUGUUGGAAUCCCUUUGCCUUUCCAAGGGAAAAUAAACACAAAAAGUGAGAAGUCUUGGGGUCUCAGCGAGCGCCAAAACAAAAAACUGGACUCUGGCGGGGAUGUGGGCAAGAAGCGACUAAGCGAGGAAGGAAACCAGUUUGGGCCUCCGAGAAAUCUGGCAGGCGAGAAGGUUUGAACCGUGAUUAAAAAGGGGAAGAACCACAAGUCCCAAUUUAAGUCAGCAGAGCUGCUGUCUGGGCAGUGAGAGGGAAAGUGCUUGUGGCUGGCAGAUUUCAGCAGCCAUUUGGCAUUGGCUGGGUACCGGGCUGCUCUGUGGGUGCUGCCUGGCAGCUGCAUGGCUACAGACAAGUAACUGUUCUCUCUUGGCCGCAGUGUCCCCAGGUAUAAGAAAGUGAUCAAAUAAUAUGGGAUGAUCCAUUCAGACUUUUUUUUUUUUUUUUUUUAGAGACAGAGCCUACCUCUGUCUCCCAGGCUCGAGUGCAGUGAUGCAAUCUUGGCUCACUGCAGUGUCCACCUCCCAGGUUCAAGCGAUUCUUCUGCCUCUGCCUCCCCAGUAGCUGGGACUACAGGUGCGUGCAACCAUG
rnacentral:lncRNA from 1 species